rnacentral:rRNA from 1 species
GCCUGCCCUGUGACUAUUAGUUUAACGGCCGCGGUAUUUUGACCGUGCGAAGGUAGCGCAAUCACUUGUCUUUUAAAUGAAGACCUGUAUGAAUGGCAUAACGAGGGCUUAACUGUCUCCUCUUUCUAGUCAAUGAAAUUGAUCUUCCCGUGCAGAAGCGGGAAUGGUAACAUAAGACGAGAAGACCCUAUGAAGCUUUAGACACCAAGACAGAUCAUGCUAAACACCCCCCAAUAAAGGACUAAACCAAAUGAACCCUGUCCUAAUGUCUUUGGUUGGGGCGACCGCGGGGAAACAAAAAACCCCCACGUGGAAUGGGAGCACCCCUCCUACAACUAUGAGCCCCAGCUCUAGUUAACAGAACUUCUGACCAGUAAGAUCCGGCAGUGCCGAUCAACGAACCGAGUUACUCUAGGGAUAACAGCGCAAUCCUCUUUUAGAGCCCAUAUCGACAAGGGGGUUUACGACCUCGA